AAUUAAUUAAUUGCAUAAUACACAAAUACUGCAUUUACUGUUUUAUAGAGCAAAGUUACAUUUGCGCAUAAUGCGAUUUAUUAAUCGAUGAAUUAAAAAACUCGCCUUAUUUUAUCCUGAAAGAAAGAAUAUUUUCUUUUCAAAAUACAUAAAUUAUCCGGUAAGAAAUCAUCUGCAAUACAUCAACAGGAUUGGUCAUGGAAGUGUUCCUGCUGUAUAUAAGAGAAUACGUUGUGCGAACAGAAAUAAAAUUUGAUAACACAUUGUGUAAAAUUCAUAUCUUGCUCCCUUGGCUGCUGUCCACAUCUGAAGUCAAUGUACUUCAUGAGGGUUCAAUGACCUCGGUCAUCUAAACACAGGUAAGUCUUGAAACUUUAACAAUAACACAUGCAAAGUUUUAUAAAAUGAUUUUAUGUUAAAUAUAUAUGUUAAAAUUAUUAAAAUAAGAAAUUUGGUUAAGGAAACAAUUUUAGGAAUAUAUUCAAUUUGAUAUAAAGAUAUUUGUAAGCU